rnacentral:tRNA from 1 species
UUCCUGGUGGCUCAGACGGUAAAGUGUCUGCCUACAAUGCGGGAGACCCAGGUUUCAUCCCUGGUUUGGGAA